ensembl:misc_RNA Metazoa_SRP Metazoan signal recognition particle RNA
GUAUUAAAGUUUUUAAAUGUUCCCGGGUGUGGUGGCACCACAGGAGGAUCACUUGAGUCCAGGAAUUCUGGGCUGUCAUCCAUUAAGCCAAUCAGGUGUCCACACUAAGUUUGGCAUCAAUAUGGUGACCUACUGGGAUGGGGCGGGGGGGGUCACUAGGUUGCCUAAGGAGGGGUGAACUGGUCCAGGUCAAAAAUGGAGCAGGUCAAAGCUCUCAUGCUGAUGAGUAUUGGGAUCACAACUGUGAAUAUCCACUCACUCCAGCCUGAGCAACAUAGCAAGACCCCAUCU